rnacentral:rRNA from 1 species
AAUCCAUAGGUUAAUGAGGCGAACCGGGGGAACUGAAACAUCUAAGUACCCCGAGGAAAAGAAAUCAACCGAGAUUCCCCCAGUAGCGGCGAGCGAACGGGGAGGAGCCCAGAGCCUGAAUCAGCAUGUGUGUUAGUGGAAGCGUCUGGAAAGGCGCGCGAUACAGGGUGACAGCCCCGUACACAAAAGCGCAUGUGCUGUGAGCUCGAUGAGUAGGGCGGGACACGUGGUAUCCUGUCUGAAUAUGGGGGGACCAUCCUCCAAGGCUAAAUACUCCUGACUGACCGAUAGUGAACCAGUACCGUGAGGGAAAGGCGAAAAGAACCCCGGCGAGGGGAGUGAAAAAGAACCUGAAACCGUGUACGUACAAGCAGUGGGAGCCCCACCACCAAAGCAUUUGCUGUACCGCGUUGACGGAGCGAAGCGACGUCAAACCGAUAAAACAGCAGUGUAAAGUGAGCCGCAGGGCGCUUUGCGCGACAGCGCAAAGGCAGGCGGUUUCGCGUAGCGAAAGCGAAUGCUUUGGGGUGGGGUGACUGCGUACCUUUUGUAUAAUGGGUCAGCGACUUAUAUUCUGUAGCAAGGUUAACCGAAUAGGGGAGCCGGAGGGAAACCGAGUCUUAAU